rnacentral:rRNA from 1 species
AUUGAACGCUGGCGGCAGGCCUAACACAUGCAAGUCGAGCGGAUGAAGGGAGCUUGCUCCUGGAUUCAGCGGCGGACGGGUGAGUAAUGCCUAGGAAUCUGCCUGGUAGUGGGGGAUAACGUCCGGAAACGGGCGCUAAUACCGCAUACGUCCUGAGGGAGAAAGUGGGGGAGCUUCGGACCUCACGCUAUCAGAUGAGCCUAGGUCGGAUUAGCUAGUUGGUGGGGUAAAGGCCUACCAAGGCGACGAUCCGUAACUGGUCUGAGAGGAUGAUCAGUCACACUGGAACUGAGACACGGUCCAGACUCCUACGGGAGGCAGCAGUGGGGAAUAUUGGAGAAUGGGCGAAAGCCUGAUCCAGCCAUGCCGCGUGUGUGAAGAAGGUCUUCGGAUUGUAAAGCACUUUAAGUUGGGAGGAAAGGCAGUAAGUUAAUACCUUGCUGUUUUGACGUUACCAACAGAAUAAGCACCGGCUAACUUCGUG